rnacentral:lncRNA from 1 species
UUCCUUUGACGCUUCCAAACUUUCAAAUUUGACCACCUGAAAAUUUUGCCAUUUGAGAAGAUCAACCCGUAAUGAAACACUUCUUCUCUGUUACCCUGAAAUGAUGACUUUUACCAAUCUCAUCUCACAUUUUUCAAACUUUACAAUCUGAAAAACUUUGUCGAUUUCUUAUGUUACCGAUACUGAAUUUUUUUUUUCAAUAUCUUCUGUCUUUGUGAGAUGCCCAAAUCGACAAGAGCAAUCUCAAGACGCUUUUGAAAACAACUACAGAAUUACAUUGAGAAGCACCAGGAACUUCUCAAACGUGUUUCCAGGUAAGCACUUUGUGAGCAUGUCUGCUGGAUUAGCUGUAGUGUGAACCUUUAGGAUCUUGACUGAACCUUCAUCGACUAUAUCUCUGAUAAAAUGAUAUUUGGUAUCAACAUGCUUUGUUCUGUCAUGGUGCACACUGUUCUUUGCUAAACAUAUAGCACUUUGUGAAUCACAAUUGAGUUUAAAACUGUCCUCUUUAAAACCCAAUUCACCACACAAUCCCUUAAGCCACAGACCUUCCUUAGUAGCCUCAGAUAGAGACAUAUAUUCUGCUUCCGUAGUAGAUAAAGCAACUACUUGUUGUAGACAUGAUCUCCAACUGACCGUAUUGCCACCAACUUUGAAAACAUAGCCUGAAACUGACCUUCUCCUGUCUAAGUCUGUAGCAUAAUCUGAAUCACAAAACCCUUCAAUCUCAAAUUUCUCUGAUUUUGUGAAAGUAAGACAUACUCCUGUAGCUCCUUUUAAAUACCUCAAAAUCCACUUAACCGCAGCCCAAUGAGAUCUUCCUGGAUUCGCCAUGAAUCUGCUAACCAAUCCAAUGGCAAAGGCUAGAUCAGGUCUUGAACCGAUCAUAGCAUACAUCAGACUCCCCACUGCACUUGCAUAGGGAACUGAAUCCAUCAAUCUACUCUCUGUUUUUACCUCCUGCUCUGUUAGACUCUUAAGCUUAAACUGCGAAUUACUUGGAGUUACACAGCCUUGCAAUCCUCCAUGUUAAAAGUUCUUAAACUGCUUAGAUAUCUUUCCUGUGAUACUUGAGAGUACCUUUCUUUNNNNNNNNNNNNNNNNNNNNNNNNNNNNNNNNNNNNNNNNNNNNNNNNNNNNNNNNNNNNNNNNNNNNNNNNNNNNNNNNNNNNNNNNNNNNNNNNNNNNNNNNNNNNNNNNNNNNNNNNNNNNNNNNNNNNNNNNNNNNUUGACUUCAUGAAUUCAUCAAACUUCUGAUUCCAUUGUCUAGGUGACUGUUUCAAACCAUAUAGAGAUUUCUUAAGAAGACAGACCUUGUCUUCGUUUCCCUUCUCUAUAAAACCCUCUGGCUGACUCAUGUAAAUGACUUCAUCAAGUGUACCAUGUAAGAAAGCAGUCUUCACGUCUAGUUGCUCCAAUUCCAGAUCAAAAUUAACCACAACUGACAACAUGAUUCUAAUAGAAACAUGCUUAACCACCGGAGCAAAUAUUUCGUUGUAAUCCACUCCUUCAACCUGUGUAAAUCCCUUAGCUACAAGUCUUGCUUUGUAUCUAGGUUCUUCAACACCUGGAAUGCCCUCCUUGUACUUGAAGAUCCACUUACACCCAACUAUUUUUUGCUUUCUCGGCUUAGAGACAAUCUCAAAAGUUUCAUUUUUAUCCAGAGAUUGUUUUUCUUCUUCCAUAGCCUGCUUCCACUUCUUCCAGUCUUUACUUUGUCUAGCUUCUGCGACUGACUUUGGUUCAUUUAACUCUAUGCUUUUCAGCGCUAGUUUAAAGCAUAAAGCUAAAUAAUCAGCAUCCUCAAACCUCGAUGGUGGUUUGAUAGUUCUUCGCUCUCUGUCUCUUGCCAGCAAAUAAUCAUCAAGAGACUCUUCUUCAUCCUGAUUUUCUUGUUCUUCCUCAGAUUCCUGCUCCUCUUCUGAUUCUGAAUGUUCCGAAGUAGCUCCACCUUGACCAGCAGAAUCUGUAUUUCCUGAAACCUCUCCACCUUGACCAGUGGACUCUUGAACCGAACCAUUUGGAGUAGGUCCUUGGAUCAAUCCAGCUUUGAAAGUAACUUUCUUCUUCUUUGUAGAUUUUGUUACUUCAUUCUGAUCUCGGUCCUUAUACAACUUUUCCUCAUCAAAGACUACAUUCCUGCUGUUAGUACAUUUUCCAUCCUCCGGAAUCCAAACCCUGUAACCUUUAGUACCCUGUGGAUAUCCUAAGAAAAUCCCUUUAACAGCUCUUGGACUCAUCUUGUCUUGUAUUACAUGAACAUAUGCAACACAACCAAAUCGUCUGAGAUGACUGUAAUCAACCUUUGAUCCUGACCAAACCUCUUCAGGAAUCUUGAACUUCAGUGAUGCAUUUGGUGAUCUGUUUAUGAGAUAAACUGCAGUAGAAGCUGCCUCAGCCCAAAAUUUCUUUUCCAUUCCUGUUUCUGCUAACAUACACCUGAUCUUCUCAGCUAUUGUCCGAUUCAUCCUCUCAGAUACUCCAUUUUGCUGUGGAGUAUAAGUGCAAGUUCGAUGUCUUUUAAUCCCUGAAUCCUGACAUAGCUUAUCCAUCUGAUUGUUGCAGAACUCUAAUCCAUUAUCAGUUCGCAGACGCUUUAUCUUCUUACUCUUCUGAUUUUCCACUAGUGCUUUCCACUCUGAAAAAUUUUCAAACACUUCGUCCUUACUCCUUAGGAAUCUGAUCUAAACCUUCCUUGAGUAAUCAUCAAUGAAAGUAAGAAAGUAUCUACACCCUGUCAUGCUUGGCUCGUUUGACACUGAGCCCCAAAGAUCACUGUGAAUGUAUUCCAAAAUACACGUAGUAGUGUGUUGGCCAACUGGAAAACUCUGCUUGUGAGACUUACCAAACACACACUUUUCACAGAAAUCUAAAGUGUGGACUUCCUUUGAGUCUAGAUAACCUCCUUUGACCAGAAGAUUCAUGUUCUUAAGACUCAUAUGUCCUAGCCUUGAAUGCCAUCUGUUCGUUAGAUUUACCUCCGUCCUGACCACAAAUGCUUCUCCUCUCACAACUGUUCCCUGCAAAUAGUACAGCCCGUUCUCAUAUUUUCCUGAAAUCACUUUCUGGCCCUUCUUGUAGAAAGUAACUAUGAAGUCCUUCCCUUCAUACUUGCACCCGUUCUUCUCUAGCUGGCCAUAAGAGAUGAGAUUUUUGCUCAUGGUUGGCAUGUAUCUCACAUCAGUUAAUAUCACGGUAGCUCCUUCUGAGUUUAUGAUCUUGAUUUUCCCAAUGCCUUUGACUUCGCUGUGAGUGUUGUUACCCAUCAUCACCUUUCCGCCAUCAACUUCUUUGAAGUCAUACAAGACAUCUCUAUCAGGUGUAAUGUGGAAAGUACACCCAGAAUCUAUGACCCAUUCAUCCAUAGUGUCUUGGACGCUUGCUGUUAAGAUCAUAGGUUCCUCUCUUUCAUGUACUACAUUUGCAGAGUCUUGUUUCCCAUACUUUCUUUCAGGGCACUCUUUCUUGNNNNNNNNNNNNNNNNNNNNNNNNNNNNNNNNNNNNNNNNNNNNNNNNNNNNNNNNNNNNNNNNNNNNNNNNNNNNNNNNNNNNNNNNNNNNNNNNNNNNAUAACCUUCCGCAAGACCAGAUUACUAAGGCUGGAACAUAUCAAGUUCUUUGCCUUUUUGUCUGUCUCCUUCUUCUUUGGAUCAACCGGAGAUGGAGUUGCCUUAGCAUCUGUCUCAUCUUCUUUUCCUUUUCCUUUGUCAGAUGCUGCGCUAGUUUCUUCCUCACUAAUUGCAGAAUCUAACCCUAGAUUUUCAAGAGCCAUAAGCAUCUUGAAUUUCCACAUACCAAAAUCUCCUUUACCAUCAAACUUCUCCACCUUAAUUUUACCAAAAGAUGGUUCCAUGAUUCAGACUUUGUAGAUAAGAAAAUCUAAUUUCUUAUUGUAUCUUUGAUCCUCUCUUGCUGUAUUAGUUCUUUCGCUGGUCUAUACGCAGCGGUUGUGCAUAAAUUCUGUUCAAUCAAAUUGUGAGGUUUUAAUAUUGAUUUCAACCUCUAGUCUUAGCUCUUAACCUGAACUACUUAGAUCAAUUAACCUUGAUACUUAGUUUGUUUGUUGUUUUCAAGCAAGACACAAGAAAAUUUGGUAACCCAGUUCCCUUUCGGUACGUCUGGGGAGAGACGGUACUCUCAACGGUCCACUAUAAUCGAUCAAGUGUUUACAAUAAUGAGUUUGUUACUUCACCGUUAAACUCACGUAUCUCUCUUCUUUCCUUUGUUUCAGGUACCACAAAGAAGAAAGACCAGAAACUAAUUCACCUCAGUUUCAACCACAGAUGCCUUAACCCAGAAGAUGAAGACGAAAGCCUGAAAAAACCCUUAACCGUGUAUCUCUGUUUCUCUUCUCCUUCUCUCGUUAAUUAUCUCUGCUCUCUCUCAAAGUCUCCAACUCCAAAAAAGUUUUAUAUAUAGCUUUGAGUAAUCAUGUGGGCCUUAUACCCUAGCCCAACAUCAGUUUCUCUUGCACACUCUUGUAAACACACGUAUGGGCUUGAGCCCAAAAGAAUAGAAGCUUUGCCCAGAUAAUGUGUAGUUGACCAUUAUCUUCUCCUUUGGUUUUAUCGACAAACUCCACAAAUCUCCACCUUGUCGAUUCAACCACCAAAAACUACGACAUCUGCCUGAGACGAAAUCCUCCGUCGCCUCUCCGUCAUGUCACCGUUCUAGUGGACCUUCUCCGGCGCUGCUCCUUCUCCGACUUCACCGUCGUCCUUGAAGCUCGCCAUCGUCACGAUUCAUGGCUUUAAACAAGCCGAUGAAUCUCACCACCGUCUCUGCAAAUGAAGCACCACGAUUCCAGCUUAACCGCCGUUUCGUCGCUACCGGCGUUCAUCUCCACUGUCGUCUUUACCGACGAUAGCAUCUGCUGUCGCUGAUUUAACCAUCACCGACCCAACAUCUCAACUUUUUCACCGGAGCAUGUCAAAACCCAGAAAUCGUCGACUAUUUCUAGAUCCUCUCAUUUCCGAUGAUAGAUUGACGUUAAUUCAUCCUCACCGCUGACUGAUUCCGCUGCUACCUUAACCGAUGCAGCUCAGCUCUGCAAUCCCAGGUAAAUUCCGAAACUCCCAUAUCCAUCUCUUUACCAAAAUGUUAUUUCAGUUUCUGUUGCUGUGAUUUGCAAUUACUUCUGAAAUCUUACUGUCUUCCUUUUCAUCUGCAGCUGCUGAAGACACUUUUGAUUUCAAAAAACUAAGCAUCGUGAAUUGCAGGUAAAACCCUAAAUUCCUUUGACGCUUCCAAACUUUCAAAUUUGACCACCUGAAAAUUUUGCCAUUUGAGAAGAUCAACCCGUAAUGAAACACUUCUUCUCUGUUACCCUGAAAUGAUGACUUUUACCAAUCUCAUCUCACAUUUUUCAAACUUUACAAUCUGAAAAACUUUGUCGAUUUCUUAUGUUACCGAUACUGAAUUUUUUUUUUCAAUAUCUUCUGUCUUUGUGAGAUGCCCAAAUCGACAAGAGCAAUCUCAAGACGCUUUUG